ACGAAGGGGGCUAGCGUUGCUCGGAAUGACUGGGCGUAAAGGGCGCGUAGGCGGCUACAUUUGUCGGGCGUGAAAGUCCUGGGCUUAACCUGGGGAUUGCGUUCGGGACGGUGUGGCUUGAGUGGGGAAGAGGGUCGUGGAAUUCCCAGUGUAGAGGUGAAAUUCGUAGAUAUUGGGAAGAACACCGGUGGCGAAGGCGGCGACCUGGUCCUUGACUGACGCUGAGGCGCGAGAGCGUGGGGAGCAAACAGGAUUAGAUACCCUGGUAGUCCACGCUGUAAACGAUGUGCGCUGGAUGUUGGGGGGCCUAGCCCUUCAGUGUCGAAGCUAACGCGGUAAGCGCACCGCCUGGGGAGUACGGCCGCAAGGUUG
rnacentral:rRNA from 1 species